rnacentral:rRNA from 1 species
AUUGAACGCUGCGGAAUGCUUUACACAUGCAAGUCGAACGGCAGCACGGACUUCGGUCUGGUGGCGAGUGGCGAACGGGUGAGUAAUGUAUCGGAACGUGCCCAGUCGUGGGGGAUAACGUAGUGAAAAUUACGCUAAUACCGCAUACGAUCUAUGGAUGAAAGCGGGGGAUCGCAAGACCUCGCGCGAUUGGAGCGGCCGAUAUCAGAUUAGGUAGGUGGUGGGGUAAAGGCCCACCAAGCCAGCGAUCUGUAGCCGGUCUGAGAGGACGACCAGCCACACUGGAACUGGGACACGGUCCAGACUCCUACGGGAGGCAGCAGUGGGGAAUUUGGGACAAUGGGCGAAAGCCUGAUCCAGCCAUUCCGCGUGCAGGAUGAAGGCCCUCGGGUUGUAAACUGCUUUUGUACAGAACGAAAAGGUUUCUACUAAUACUAGGAGCUCAUGACGGUACUGUAAGAAUAAGCACCGGCUAACUACGUGCCAGCCGCCGCCGUAA